CGGGGCGUGGCGAAGUUGGUAUCGCGCUGCUUUUGGGUAGCAGAGAUCAUCAGUUCGAAUCUGGUCGCCCCGA
rnacentral:tRNA from 1 species